UACGGGGGGGGCAAGCGUUGUUCGGAAUUACUGGGCGUAAAGGGCUCGUAGGCGGCCAACUAAGUCGGAUGUGAAAUCCCCAGGCUUAACCUGGGAACUGCAUCCGAUACUGGAUGGCUUGAAUCCGGGAGAGGGAUGCAGAAUUCCAGGUGUAGCGGUGAAAUGCGUAGAUAUCUGGAGGAAUACCGGUGGCGAAGGCGGCAUCUUGGACCGGCAUUGACGCUGAUGAGCGAAAGCUAGGGGAGCAAACGGG
rnacentral:rRNA from 1 species